UACGUAGGCAGCGAGCGUUGUUCGGAGUUACUGGGCGUAAAGCGUGCGUAGGCGGUGUCUUAAGUUUGUUGUGAAAUCUCCCGGCUUAACCGGGAGGGUGCGGCGAAUACUGAGAUGCUGGAGUGCCGGAGAGGUAAGCGGAAUUCCUGGUGUAGCGGUGAAAUGCGUAGAGAUCGGGCGGAACACCAGCGGCGAAGGCGGCAUCCUGGCCCCUUACCUGACGCUGAGGCGCGAGAGCGUGGGGAGCAAACCGG
rnacentral:rRNA from 1 species